UAUAGACUGACCUAGCAGACUUUGCCAAGACUAUACAUUUUUUAGGAGACUAAAAUG
rnacentral:ncRNA from 1 species